rnacentral:rRNA from 1 species
CCUACGGGUGGCAGCAGUGAGGAAUAUUGGUCAAUGGUCGGGAGCCUGAACCAGCCAAGCCGCGUGAGGGAUGAAGGUACAGAGGAUCGUAAACCUCUUUUGUCAGGGAGCAAAGGCGGGGACGUGUCCCCGGAUGAGUGGACCUGAAGAAAAAGCAUCGGCAAACUCCGUGCCAGCAGCCGCGGUAAUACGGAGGAUGCGAGGGUUAUCCGGAUUUAUUGGGGUAAAAGGGUGCGCAGGCGGUUUGUUAAGUGAGCGGUAAAACUCCGGGGCUCAACCCCGGCCUGCCUUUGAAACUGGCGGUCUCGAGUGGGCGAGAAGUAUGCGGAAUGCGUGGUGUAGCGGUGAAAUGCAUAGAUAUCGCGCAGAACUCCGAUUGCGAAGGCAGCAUGCCGGCUCCAAACUGACGCUGAGGCACGAAAGCGUGGGUAUCGAACAGGAUUAGAUACCCCUGUAGUC